UACGGGGGGGGCAAGCGUUGUCCGGAUUUACUGGGCGUAAAGAGCGCGCAGGCGGUCGUACAAGUCGCGUGUGAAAGCCCCCGGCUCAACUGGGGAGGGUCACGCGAUACUGUUCGACUCGAAGGCAGGAGAGGGAAGCGGAAUUCCCGGUGUAGUGGUGAAAUGCGUAGAUAUCGGGAGGAACACCAGUGGCGAAGGCGGCUUCCUGGCCUGUUCUUGACGCUGAGGCGCGAAAGCUAGGGUAGCAAACGGG
rnacentral:rRNA from 1 species